CUCAAAAUGAAUUGACGGGGACCCGCACAAGCAGCGGAGCGUGUGGUUUAAUUCGUUGCUACACGAAGAACCUUACCUGGGUUUGACAUAUAGGUUGUAGGGAACUGAAAGGGACCGACCCUUCGGGGAGCCUAUACAGGUGUUGCAUGGCUGUCGUCAGCUCGUGUCGUGAGAUGUUCGGUUAAGUCCGCUAACGAGCGCAACCCUCGUCGUAUGUUAUAUGUGUCAUACGAGACUGCCGGUAAAAAGCCGGAGGAAGGUGAGGAUGAUGUCAAGUCAGCAUGACCUUUAUAUCCAGGGCUACACACACGCUACAAUGGUCUGUACAAUGGGUAGCCAAGCCGCGAGGCGGAGCCAAUCCUGAAAGCAGGCCUCAGUUCAGAUUGCAGUCUGCAACUCGACUGCAUGAAGCCGGAGUUGCUAGUAACCGCAGGUCAGCAAUACUGCGGUGAAUACGUUCCCGGGUCUU
rnacentral:rRNA from 1 species